AAUAGAAAGAGAGAGAGAGAGAGAGAGAGAGAGAGAGAGCAUAAUUAGAAUAAUAAUAAUAAUAAUAAUAAUAAUAAUAAUAAUAAUAAUAAACGAGGAAAGAGUACUCGAACGUUGUCUUUAUCAAUCUUUAAUAUAUUCGUAUAUAAUGAUUAAUAUUAUAUUUAACAAUUAUUAAAUAUUAAUGAUAUCUGAUUGAUCUUUAAUUGGAUAAAUUUGAUUAUAUUAUUCCAUUAACUGUAACGUUAUACCUCUACGUCAUCGUCGUCAUCGUCGUCGUUGUCGUCGUCGCCGUCUUACUAGAAAAUUCAUUGGGUGCUACGAAUAAUUAUGAAAACUUUAACCAUGAUUAUAUAUACAUAUGAGUGAGUGUGUGCGUAUGUGUGUGUGUGUGUGUGUGUGUGUUUGUGUACAUACAUACACAUAUAUAUGUAUAUGUGCGCAAAUACGUAUCCGUACUUCCUCGAACUUAAUAUCGAGUUUUCGCACUUUGAAACCGUGUAAAUAAUUUCGAGAGAACAUAUAUGAAAGAGAGAGAGAGAGAGAGAGAGAGAGAGAGAGAGAGAGAGAGAGAGAGAGAGAGAGAGAGAGAGAGAGAGAGAGAGAGAGAGAGAGAGAGAGAGAGACAGAGAAAGAGAGAGAGUGAGAGAGAGAAUGAGUUUCAAGUGUCUUAAUUAAGGAUAUGUAUCAAAAUAUUUACAAACAAAUAUACGUUCUUAAAUCUAAUCAAGUGUAUACCGUAUAAAUAAGAUAUAUAUUAUAAAAAGGUAUUGAAAAGUAUUGUAUAAUAAUAUAUAAAAUAUAUUAUAUUUUAUAUUAUUAUUUUUAUUAUUCUUGAAGUUCUCUAUCUCUCUCUCUCUCUCUCUCUCUCUCUCUCUCUCUCUCUCUCUCUCUCUUUCUCAUUCUCUUAUUAUCGUUAUCAUUGUCAUACUUAUUAGAAAAUGGAUCAAUGUUAUUGCUGUGUUUAUAAACAAAUUGUUUCUCUCUUUCAGACACAUAUACACGCAUACACACACUCACUCUCUCUCUCUCUCUCUCUCUCUCUUCGUCUCUGUCUCUGCCUCUGUCUCUCUCUCUCUCUCUCUCUCUCUCUCUCUUUCUCCCUCUCUUAUUGCCUUUAUCGUCCUUCCAGUGUAAUCUUAUUCGAAUCUACGAACCGGAACGUUAGCUGUUUAAAGUGAUCGUGGAAAACGUGAAUCUCCGUUAAAUUACAAUUAUUAUUUUCAAUAAUAGUUUAUUCGAUUGCAAUACGUGCGUUUAUAUGUAUAUACGUGUGUAUGUGUCUACGUGUACGCGUGUGUAUGUAUAUGUGCAUGUGUAAAAUUGUAUUUGAUAUAGUCAUGUUUUUCGGUUGUGGAAACUGUAAGAGAUGUAUGUUCUCGUACAAGAAGAAAUCGAACAACAUACCGUAUGGCUUAGACUCGAAAAAUAUCAAGUAA